AGCUUGGUGGCGUAAUGGUAACGUGCUCCAGUAGCGAUCUACUGCAUUUGUAUAUCGUUCGACGGAAAAUCCGGAGUUCGAUUCUCCGUCAAGCCA